rnacentral:rRNA from 1 species
AUUGAACGCUGGCGGCAGGCUUAACACAUGCAAGUCGAGCGAGGCGCGGACGGGUGAGUAAUGUCUGGGAAACAGCCCGAUGGAGGGGGAUAACUACUGGAAACGGUAGCUAAUACCGCAUACCAUCAGUUGCGCCUAGAUGGGAUUAGCUAGUAGGUGGGGUAAUGGCUCACCUAGGCGACGAUCCCUAGCUGGUCUGAGAGGGUGACCGGCCACACUGGAACUGAGACACGGUCCAUACUCCGACGGGAGGCAGCAGUGGGGAAUAUUGCACAAUGGGCGCAAGCCUGAUGCAGCCAUGCCGCGUGUGUGAAGAAGGCCUUCGGGUUGUAAAGCACUUUCAGCGGGGAGGCGUUACUCGCAGAGGAAGCACCGGCUAACUCCGUGCCAGCAGCCGCGGUAAUUC